GACGAACGCUGGCGGCGUGCUUAACACAUGCAAGUCGAACGGAAAGGCCCUGCUUUUGUUGGGUGCUCGAGUGGCGAACGGGUGAGUAACACGUGAGUAACCUGCCCUUGUCUUUGGGAUAACUUCAGGAAACUGGGGCUAAUACCGGAUAGGAGCUCCUGCUGCACGGGGGGGGUUGGAAAGAUUCGGUGGUUGGGGAUGGACUAGCGGCUUAUCAGCUUGUUGGUGGGGUAGUGGCUUACCAAGGCUUUGACGGGUAGCCGGCCUGAGAGGGUGACCGGCCACAAUGGGACUGAGGUACGGCCCAGAAUCCUACGGGAGGCAGCAGUGGGAAAUAUUGCACAAUGGGCGGAAGCCUGAUACAGCAACGCCGCGUGCGGGAUGACGGCCUUCGGGUUGUAAACCGCUUUCGCCUGUGACGAAGCGUGAGUGACGGUAAUGGGUAAAGAAGCACCGGCUAACUACGUG
rnacentral:rRNA from 1 species